UGGGGAAUUUUGGACAAUGGGCGAAAGCCUGAUCCAGCAAUGCCGCGUGUGUGAAGAAGGCCUUCGGGUUGUAAAGCACUUUUGUCCGGAAAGAAAUCCUUGGCUCUAAUACAGUCGGGGGAUGACGGUACCGGAAGAAUAAGCACCGGCUAACUACGUGCCAGCAGCCGCGGUAAUACGUAGGGUGCAAGCGUUAAUCGGAAUUACUGGGCGUAAAGCGUGCGCAGGCGGUUUGCUAAGACCGAUGUGAAAUCCCCGGGCUCAACCUGGGAACUGCAUUGGUGACUGGCAGGCUAGAGUAUGGCAGAGGGGGGUAGAAUUCCACGUGUAGCAGUGAAAUGCGUAGAGAUGUGGAGGAAUACCGAUGGCGAAGGCAGCCCCCUGGGCCAAUACUGACGCUCAUGCACGAAAGCGUGGGGAGCAAACAGGAUUAGAUACCCUGGUAGUCCACGCCCUAAACGAUGUCAACUAGUUGUUGGGGAUUCAUUCCUUAGUAACGCAGCUAACGCGUGAAGUUGACCGCCUGGGGAGUACGGUCGCAAGAUUAAAACUUAAAUGAAUUGACGGGGUCAUAGCUGUUUCCU
rnacentral:rRNA from 1 species